GAUGAACGCUGGCGGCGUGCCUAAUACAUGCAAGUCGAGCGAACGGACGAGAAGCUUGCUUCUCUGAUGUUAGCGGCGGACGGGUGAGUAACACGUGGAUAACCUACCUAUAAGACUGGGAUAACUUCGGGAAACCGGAGCUAAUACCGGAUAAUAUUUUGAACCGCAUGGUUCAAAAGUGAAAGACGGUCUUGCUGUCACUUAUAGAUGGAUCCGCGCUGCAUUAGCCAGUUGGUAAGGUAACGGCUUACCAAGGCAACGAUGCAUAGCCGACCUGAGAGGGUGAUCGGCCACACUGGAACUGAGACACGGUCCAGACUCCUACGGGAGGCAGCAGUAGGGAAUCUUCCGCAAUGGGCGAAAGCCUGACGGAGCAACGCCGCGUGAGUGAUGAAGGUCUUCGGAUCGUAAAACUCUGUUAUUAGGGAAGAACAUAUGUGUAAGUAACUGUACACAUCUUGACGGUACCUAAUCAGAAAGCCACGGCUAACUACGUG
rnacentral:rRNA from 1 species